UACGUAGGUGGCAAGCGUUAUCCGGAAUUAUUGGGCGUAAAAAGCGCGCAGGUGGUUGAUUAAGUCUGAUGUGAAAGCCCACGGCUUAACCGUGGAGGGUCAUUGGAAACUGGUCGACUUGAGUGCAGAAGAGGGAAGUGGAAUUCCAUGUGUAGCGGUGAAAUGCGUAGAGAUAUGGAGGAACACCAGUGGCGAAGGCGGCUUCCUGGUCUGUAACUGACACUGAGGCGCGAAAGCGUGGGGAGCAAACAGGAUUAGAUACCCU
rnacentral:rRNA from 1 species